rnacentral:tRNA from 1 species
GUGGAUGUAGCUCAGUUGGUAGAGCGCCGGUUUGUGGUACCGGUGGUCGCGGGUUCAAGUCCCGUCAUUCACCCCA